rnacentral:rRNA from 1 species
UACGAAGGGGGCAAGCGUUGCCCGGAAUCACUGGGCGUAAAGCGCACGUAGGCGGAUUGCUAAGUCAGGGGUGAAAUCCUGGAGCUCAACUCCAGAACUGCCUUUGAUACUGGCGAUCUUGAGUCCGGGAGAGGUGAGUGGAGCUGCGAGUGUAGAGGUGAAAUUCGUAGAUAUUCGCAAGAACACCAGUGGCGAAGGCGGCUCGCUGGCCCGGUACUGACGCUGAGGUGCGAAAGCGUGGGGAGCAAACAGG